UUAAGUUAAUAAGGGCGCACGGUGGAUGCCUUGGCACUAGGAGCCGACGAAGGACGUGACAAACGACGAUAUGCCUUGGGUAGCUGUAAGUAAGCGAUGAUCCAGGGAUUUCCGAAUGGGGGAACCCAACAGGUAAUACCUGUUACCUACAUCUGUUAAGGAUGUGAGGAGGAAGACGCAGUGAACUGAAACAUCUAAGUAGCUGCAGGAAGAGAAAGCAAAAGCGAUUGCCUUAGUAGCGGCGAGCGAAACGGCAGAAGGGCAAACCGAAGAGUUUACUCUUCGGGGUUGUAGGACUGCAAUGUGGACUCAAAGAUUAUAGAAGAAUGAUUUGGGAAGAUCAGCCAAAGAGAGUAAUAGCCUCGUAUUUAAAAUAGUCUUUGUACUUAGCAGUAUCCUGAGUACGGCGGGACACGUGAAAUCCCGUCGGAAUCUGGGAGGACCAUCUCCCAACCCUAAAUACUCCCUAGUGACCGAUAGUGAACCAGUACCGUGAGGGAAAGGUGAAAAGCACCCCGGGAGGGGAGUGAAAUAGAACCUGAAACCGUGUGCCUACAACAAGUUCGAGCCCGUUAAUGGGUGAGAGCGUGCCUUUUGUAGAAUGAACCGGCGAGUUACGUUAUGAUGCGAGGUUAAGUUGAAGAGACGGAGCCGUAGGGAAACCGAGUCUGAAUAGGGCGCCUUAGUAUCAUGACGUAGACCCGAAACCAUGUGACCUACCCAUGAGCAGGUUGAAGGUGCGGUAAGACGCACUGGAGGACCGAACCAGGGCACGUUGAAAAGUGCUUGGAUGACUUGUGGGUAGCGGAGAAAUUCCAAACGAACUUGGAGAUAGCUGGUUCUCUCCGAAAUAGCUUUAGGGCUAGCGUCGACAUUAGAGAUUCUUGGAGGUAGAGCACUGUUUGGGUGAGGGGUCCAUCCCGGAUUACCAAUCUCAGAUAAACUCCGAAUGCCAAUGAAUUAUGGUCGGCAGUCAGACUGCGAGUGCUAAGAUCCGUAGUCGAAAGGGAAACAGCCCAGACCACCAGCUAAGGUCCCAAAAUAAUUGUUAAGUGGAAAAGGAUGUGGGGUUGCACAGACAACUAGGAUGUUAGCUUAGAAGCAGCUAUUCAUUCAAAGAGUGCGUAAUAGCUCACUAGUCGAGUGACCCUGCGCCGAAAAUGUACCGGGGCUAAAACAAUUUACCGAAGCUGUGGAUACCUUUAUAGGUAUGGUAGGAGAGCGUUCUAUGUGUGAUGAAGGUAUACCGUGAGGAGUGCUGGAACGCAUAGAAGUGAGAAUGCCGGUAUGAGUAGCGAAAGACAGGUGAGAAUCCUGUCCACCGUAAGACUAAGGUUUCCAGGGGAAGGCUCGUCCGCCCUGGGUUAGUCGGGACCUAAGGAGAGACCGAAAGGUGUAUCCGAUGGACAACAGGUUGAUAUUCCUGUACUAGAGUAUGUAGUGAUGGAGGGACGCAGUAGGCUAACUAAAGCAGACGAUUGGAAGAGUCUGUCUAAGCAGUGAGGUGUGAAUUGAGUCAAAUGCUUAAUUCUAUAACAUUGAGCUGUGAUGGGGAGCGAAGUUUAGUAGCGAAGUUAGUGACGUCACACUGCCAAGAAAAGCUUCUAGCGUUUAAACAUACUCUACCCGUACCGCAAACCGACACAGGUAGUCGAGGCGAGUAGCCUCAGGUGAGCGAGAGAACUCUCGUUAAGGAACUCGGCAAAAUGACCCCGUAACUUCGGGAGAAGGGGUGCUGACUUAAAGUCAGCCGCAGUGAAUAGGCCCAAGCAACUGUUUAUCAAAAACACAGCUCUCUGCUAAAUCGUAAGAUGAUGUAUAGGGGGUGACGCCUGCCCGGUGCUGGAAGGUUAAGAGGAGUGCUUAGCGUAAGCGAAGGUAUGAAUUGAAGCCCCAGUAAACGGCGGCCGUAACUAUAACGGUCCUAAGGUAGCGAAAUUCCUUGUCGGGUAAGUUCCGACCCGCACGAAAGGCGUAAUGAUUUGGGCACUGUCUCAACGAGAGACUCGGUGAAAUUUUAGUACCUGUGAAGAUGCAGGUUACCCGCGACAGGACGGAAAGACCCCAUGGAGCUUUACUGCAGUUUGAUAUUGAGUGUCUGUACCACAUGUACAGGAUAGGUAGGAGUCUAAGAGAUCGGGACGCCAGUUUCGAAGGAGACGCUGUUGGGAUACUACCCUUGUGUUAUGGCCACUCUAACCCAGAUAGGUGAUCCCUAUCGGAGACAGUGUCUGACGGGCAGUUUGACUGGGGCGGUCGCCUCCUAAAAGGUAACGGAGGCGCCCAAAGGUUCCCUCAGAAUGGUUGGAAAUCAUUCGCAGAGUGUAAAGGUAUAAGGGAGCUUGACUGCGAGAGCUACAACUCGAGCAGGGACGAAAGUCGGGCUUAGUGAUCCGGUGGUUCCGUAUGGAAGGGCCAUCGCUCAACGGAUAAAAGCUACCCUGGGGAUAACAGGCUUAUCUCCCCCAAGAGUUCACAUCGACGGGGAGGUUUGGCACCUCGAUGUCGGCUCGUCGCAUCCUGGGGCUGUAGUCGGUCCCAAGGGUUGGGCUGUUCGCCCAUUAAAGCGGCACGCGAGCUGGGUUCAGAACGUCGUGAGACAGUUCGGUCCCUAUCCGUCGCGGGCGUAGGAAAUUUGAGAGGAUCUGCUCCUAGUACGAGAGGACCAGAGUGGACUUACCGCUGGUGUACCAGUUGUCUUGCCAAAGGCAUCGCUGGGUAGCUAUGUAGGGAAGGGAUAAACGCUGAAAGCAUCUAAGUGUGAAACCCACCUCAAGAUGAGAUUUUCCAUGAUUAUAUAUCAGUAAGAGCCCUGAGAGAUGAUCAGGUAGAUAGGUUAGAAGUGGAAGUGUGGCGACACAUGUAGCGGACUAAUACUAAUAGCUCGAGGACUUAUCCAA
rnacentral:rRNA from 1 species